rnacentral:rRNA from 1 species
UGUGUAUGACGGUACCUGUUUAGCAAGCUCCGGCUAACUACGUGCCAGCAGCCGCGGUAAUACGUAGGGAGCAAGCGUUAUCCGGAUUUAUUGGGUUUAAAGGGUGCGUAGGCGGGAUGCCAAGUCAGCGGUCAAAUACGGGGGCUCAACCUGCGUCCGCCGUUGAAACUGGCGUUCUUGAGUGGGCGAGAAGUACGCGGAAUGCGUGGUGUAGCGGUGAAAUGCAUAGAUAUCACGCAGAACCCCGAUUGCGAAGGCAGCGUACCGGCGCCCUACUGACGCUGAAGCACGAAAGCGUGGGUAUCGAACAG